rnacentral:rRNA from 1 species
UGAUGCAGCCAUGCCGCGUGUGUGAAGAAGGCCUUCGGGUUGUAAAGCACUUUCAGUCAGGAGGAAAGGGUGGUGGUUAAUACCCGUCAGCUGUGACGUUACUGACAGAAGAAGCACCGGCUAACUCCGUGCCAGCAGCCGCGGUAAUACGGAGGGUGCGAGCGUUAAUCGGAAUUACUGGGCGUAAAGCGUACGCAGGCGGUUUGUUAAGCGAGAUGUGAAAGCCCCGGGCUCAACCUGGGAACUGCAUUUCGAACUGGCAAACUAGAGUGUGAUAGAGGGUGGUAGAAUUUCAGGUGUAGCGGUGAAAUGCGUAGAGAUCUGAAGGAAUACCGAUGGCGAAGGCAGCCACCUGGGUCAACACUGACGCUCAUGUACGAAAGCGUGGGGAGCAAACGGGAUUAGAUACCCCGGUAGUCCACGCCGUAAACGAUGUCUACUAGAAGCUCGGAGCCUCGGUUCUGUUUUUCAAAGCUAACGCAUUAAGUAGACCGCCUGGGGAGUACGGCCGCAAGGUUAAAACUCAAAUGAAUUGACGGGGGCCCGCACAAGCGGUGGAGCAUGUGGUUUAAUUCGAUGCAACGCGAAGAACCUUACCUACACUUGACAUACAGAGAACUUACCAGAGAUGGUUUGGUGCCUUCGGGAACUCUGAUACAGGUGCUGCAUGGCUGUCGUCAGCUCGUGUUGUGAGAUGUUGGGUUAAGUCCCGCAACGAGCGCAACCCCUAUCCUUAGUUGCUAGCAGGUAAUGCUGAGAACUCUAAGGAGACUGCCGGUGAUAAACCGGAGGAAGGUGGGGACGACGUCAAGUCAUCAUGGCCCUUACGUGUAGGGCUACACACGUGCUACAAUGGCGCAUACAGAGUGCUGCGAACUCGCGAGAGUAAGCGAAUCACUU